rnacentral:rRNA from 1 species
UACAGAGGUCUCAAGCGUUGUUCGGAUUCAUUGAGCGUAAAGGGCGCGUAGGCGGCGGGGUAAGUCGGGUGUGAAAUCUCAGAGCUCAACUCUGAAACUGCACUCGAUACUGCUCUGCUUGAGGACUGGAGAGGAGACUGGAAUUCACGGUGUAGCAGUGAAAUGCGUAGAUAUCGUGAGGAAGACCAGUGGCGAAGGCGGGUCUCUGGACAGUUCCUGACGCUGAGGCGCGAAGGCCAGGGGAGCAAAGCGGGAUUA